rnacentral:misc_RNA from 1 species
GCUAGAUGAGAGUUGGUUGCAUUCGUGCUAUUGGUGUCUCUGUUGGAUCUUUAGCCACCAACCUGAUAGGUAAUGUGGUUGGAGUUAGGUGAGUCUUAAUAUUACAUUUUGCGAUUAGUUGGAUUUGACCUUUAUUGAUCAUCUCCUACCUAACUUCAGCAUACCUUAAAAGAUUCACUUGGCAUAUUCCUCGUUGUCAAGUCAGAAUACCGCCACUAAUGGGUUCCUCUGUUGACAGCUGAUGUUUGGAAUAUGCUUGCUUGGUUUCUUUCUUCAAAAACAAUUACUUUGUGCUGAACAUGUGAAACUUUGAUUGGAAAAAGCCGUAAACACUACUGAUUCGCAUCUUAUGGUUCUUGCAGG